rnacentral:rRNA from 1 species
CCUGNCCGGUGACAAUAAGUUUAACGGCCGCGGUAUUUUAACCGUGCUAAGGUAGCGUAAUCACUUGUCUUUUAAAUGAAGACCCGUAUGAAAGGUGUCACGAGGGCCCCCCUGUCUCCUACUUCAAGUCUGUGAAAUUGAUCUACCCGUGCAGAAGCGGGUAUAAGAACAUAAGACGAGAAGACCCUGUGGAGCUUAAGACUAACCAACCAAUCGUGCCUAACAGCCUAUCCCCCUAAUAGGAAAUAAAAAGCUAAACAAGCAUAACGACCUGUGAUUGUAACUGUCUUCGGUUGGGGCGACCGUGGGGGAUAAAAAAGCCUCCAAGAGGAAACAGGGGACCAGUUCAACCGAUCCCUAAGAGCCAAGAGCCACCGCUCUAAGCAACAGAAAACUCUGACCAAUAAUGAUCCAGGCAUUAGCCUGAUCAACGAACCAAGUUACCCCAGGGAUAACAGCGCAAUCCUUUCCAAGAGCCCAUAUCGCCGAAAGGGUUUACGACCUCGAUGUUGGAUCAGGACAUCCUGGUGGCGAAAAUUCUACCAAGGGUUCGUU